rnacentral:lncRNA from 1 species
AUGAAAACUUGGGUGAAACCACUCUGUUGUCACAACUUCAUAAUGACCUUACUAACAAGCUGGAUACCAGCCCCAACAGCAAUUCUUCUCUUACAUUUUUGGAGAGCAAAGGUAUAUGCUUCUGGAAACCCAGAGGAGGAAAUAGAUUACACAUAUGUUAUUAUAGGAGCUACUCUGGGAGCAGUUCUAGCAAUCGGUUUUGUAGCAGUAAUAAUCUGCAUGAUCAAAUCCAAAAUGAUUGACAAUGUCUUUGGAGAGUCAGAUGGCAAAAUGGAUAGAAGGUCAAACACAGGUUCAAGCCAAAACAGAUGACAGCAAUGCAAUAAGAAAUCAAAGUAUAAAGAUCAAUAACCCUUUUGCAUCAACAGUUACCUGGUCUGAGGAUCAAUAGAAGUCUCUUGUGCAUAGGCAGGAAUCUUACCAAUACCAAUCCUUUUCUUUGUUCUUUAGUUGAAAGGCUGAUUGAUUAUUUACAGGAAGAGCUUACAGUGCAGCUAACUUCAAUCACCUGCACCCAAAAGGCCUGCAAUCCCCCUCAGCAUGUACAUGAAGGAAAUGUAUGAGGAAAAUAAAAUAGAUGAGCACUGUUCA